rnacentral:misc_RNA from 1 species
AAAAAAUCCAAAAUAAAAACAGAUCGACUGCGGUUUGAUGAAACAUUGAAACAAAGAACACCACUCGACUAUUUUCUCAUCCUUGUCCAUAGAUUCAAAUAUCUACUACUCUCUCGAUAAGCCAUUUGCUUCUCAGAGAUUUGACAGUUGAGGUAAAAGGGAGGGACACAACUAGCUAACAAUAAUUUCUUCACUUAUUUGCCAUAUCCGGUGGAAUACACUGCUAGUGCACCUAUUCAAGGGGUUUCAUUAUUAGCCCCGAGUUGCUGAUAAUUCACAUAGUCGAUUUCAUUUAAUCGUAUACAACAUAAGAUCUGCUCCGGCAAUUCUUCAAUUUUGUUACCCUGAAUUGUGAGGCCUACAUCCAAGGAGCAUAGCUUUAGCCUAUCUAGGAAUGUUUCGCAACCCUUUCUAGAGAUGUAACUGAAUCUGUGCAUAUCAAUAUCAAUCUCAAAAUAAUUUUCUCCCUUAUAGAACUCAUGUUGAGGACGUGAAAGAACAGGUUUUUCAUUG